rnacentral:rRNA from 1 species
AUUGAACGCUGGCGGCAUGCCUUACACAUGCAAGUCGAACGGUAACAGGUCUUCGGAUGCUGACGAGUGGCGAACGGGUGAGUAAUACAUCGGAACGUGCCCGAUCGUGGGGGAUAACGAAGCGAAAGCUUUGCUAAUACCGCAUACGAUCUACGGAUGAAAGCAGGGGACCGCAAGGCCUUGCGCGAACGGAGCAGCCGAUGGCAGAUUAGGUAGUUGGUGGGAUAAAAGCUUACCAAGCCGACGAUCUGUAGCUGGUCUGAGAGGACGACCAGCCACACUGGGACUGAGACACGGCCCAGACUCCUACGGGAGGCAGCAGUGGGGAAUUUUGGACAAUGGGCGAAAGCCUGAUCCAGCCAUGCCGCGUGCAGGAUGAAGGCCUUCGGGUUGUAAACUGCUUUUGUACGGAACGAAAAGACUCUGGUUAAUACCUGGGGUCCAUGACGGUACCGUAAGAAUAAGCACCGGCUAACUACGUG